AUUGAACGCUGGCGGCAGGCCUAACACAUGCAAGUCGAACGGUAACAGAAAGCAGCUUGCUGCUUUGCUGACGAGUGGCGGACGGGUGAGUAAUGUCUGGGAAACUGCCUGGUGGAGGGGGAUAACUACUGGAAACGGUAGCUAAUACCGCAUAACGUCGCAAGACCAAAGAGGGGGACCUUCGGGCCUCUUGCCAUCGGAUGUGCCCAGAUGGGAUUAGCUUGUUGGUGGGGUAACGGCUCACCAAGGCGACGAUCCCUAGCUGGUCUGAGAGGAUGACCAGCCACACUGGAACUGAGACACGGUCCAGACUCCUACGGGAGGCAGCAGUGGGGAAUAUUGCACAAUGGGCGCAAGCCUGAUGCAGCCAUGCCGCGUGUAUGAAGAAGGCCUUCGGGUUGUAAAGUACUUUCAGCGGGGAGGAAGGGAGUAAAGUUAAUACCUUUGCUCAUUGACGUUACCCGCAGAAGAAGCACCGGCUAACUCCGUG
rnacentral:rRNA from 1 species